rnacentral:piRNA from 1 species
UACUGGCGUAUGUGCCUGUUUCUGUUGUG